GGAGGAUCAGUACUCCCCGGCACAUGGUCUGCUUCCCAGGCUUAACAGGUUACAUGGACUCCCUUCUUUUUUCUCCACCUGCCCUGUGCUCCAGGCCCUGUGCUGGGUGUGGGGGCCCAGAGGUACCAUCUCAUCUAAGCCUCAUAGCAACCUACAAGGUGAACCAAGUGCCGGGCCCGACACUUUUGAAUUUGGGCCUCACCCUGUGAGUCGGCAUCAGGGAGUUAUUCCUGUUUGACAGGAAAGGGUGCUGAGACUCGGAGUGUUGAAGUCAGUCUCCUAAGCAAGUCGGAAGGUCUUCUGAUUCCACGUGGCUAUUUCUGCUGGAGGCGGGUAAGUGUCUUCAGGUCUUUUCAGAACGUAAGCCCUCUCUGGUUCCCUUCCCUACCCCGGGUUGCUAGAACUCUGACUGAAGGUAGGUACAGGUAAGGAGAGGGUGCAGAUUCCCAAGGACUAACUCCCAAUAGCAACUCCAAUGUUAACAGUUGACAUGUGUUGAACCCUUGCUUUGUGGCAGGUGUGAUGCUUAUGUGUGUUUGUGCAGCCUCAGAAUCUUUCUUUUGUUUUGUUUUUCUUCAGGAAGAUUAGCCCUGAGCUAACUACUGCCAAUCCUCCUCUUUUUGCUGAGGAAGACUGGCCCUGAGCUAACAUCCAUGCCCAUCUUCCUCUACUUUAUAUGUGGGACGCCUACCACAGCAUGGAUUGCCAAGCAGUGCCAUGUCUGCACCCGGGAUCUGAACCGGCGAACCCGGGCCGCCCAAGCGGAACGUGCACACUUAACCACUGUGCCACUGGGCGGCCCCCUAGAAUCUUUCUUUCUUUCUUUUUUUAAAGAUUGGCACCUGAGCUAACAGCUGUUGCCAAUCGUCUUUUUUUCUUCUUUUUCUCCCCAAAUACCCCCAGUACGUAGUUGUAUAUUUUAGUUGUGGGUCCUUCUAGUGUGGCAUGUGGGAUGCCGCCUCAGCGUGGCCUGACGAGCAGUGCCAUGUCCGUGUCCAGGAUAUGAACUGGCAAAACCCCAGGCCACUGAAGCGGAGCAUGCAAACUUAACCUCUCGGCCAAAGGGCUGGCCCCUCAGAAUCUUUCUUAACACAGUGCUUCAGGCAGCUGCUGCUACCCAAUAUGCGUAGGCACAGGAGUUCAGUUCAAAUGAACCAAUAUUAGUGAGCACCUACCAUGAGCCAGGCACUGGCCUGGGCCCGAAGGAUGCAGGGGAGAACCAGGGCAAUAUCCGGGAGGCAGACUGAGAUGACUGUGAUAAUGUAGGGGAGUGGCUAGAUUGUGGGGACGCAGACACGGGGCCCCUAGUGUCAAACUGAGGGGCUAGGAAAAGUUUCUCAGAGGAAGUAAUGUUUAAGCUGAUGACUGAGAGUUCAGUAGGACUUAACCACGCAAAGAAGAAAGGAUGGCGGGGAAGAGUUCUAGGCUGGGAGAAGCCUACAACCACAGAGGCCUGAAGGAGGGAGGAGAACAACCUAUCUGAAGAGCUUAAGUAUGCUAAUGUGGCAGAGGGGGGAGUGGGAGGAGGGAGGGAGAGGGCAGGGCCUCGACUCAGGGCACCCCAGGCCAGGAUAAGAGGUCUAGUCUCGCCCUGCCCUGCGGCACGGGUGCCUACUGAUCCAGCUUCCCACCCCCCUUCCACAUGGAACUUUCCUGUUUGCAAGACCCUCUCACAUCAGUGAGAGUCGCCCAAUACCUCUGAGCAGGAGGUGGAGCAGGGGUCACCACGCCCAUUUUGCAGAUGAAGAAACUGAAUCUCAGAGGUUACAAGGUUGGGCCAUUUUACCUGGCUGGUAAAAAGGGCAUUGGGGCUGGCCCCCAGACCGCUUCAGGCUGGUACUGAGCCAAGGGCCAGCACUAUUUGCAGGACAUCAGUGUGGGUUCUGGGAUGAUGGUAUGAGGUAGGGUAGGAGCACAGUCUGGUUUGGGGAAGCCCUGGGGAUACAGAGGGAGGGUGGGGAUUCCUCCUCCCCAAAGCUCCCAGCUGGAGAGGGUUGCUGCCGCUUCUGUCUUGCAGUCUGUCCCCAGUGACUGGCUGGGGGUGAGUCAGCCUGGAUGAAGUCACCCACUUCCGCGCAGCCUGUGCCCCCUGACCUGGGAGGCGCCUGCCAGGGGCACCAGUCGAGCUGGAGGACGGGUUGGGCAGCUCUCCAGGUCGCUCUGUCACAGCUGAUUUAGGGGGGCUGGAGGUGUCCGGAGCCAUCCGAAGCAGCUGGGCGUCUGGGGCUGCGAGGCCCAUAAGUCAUGCCGCCACCCGCCAUUCCCUGCAGUGCUCCCCGAGAGGUAAGUAUUUACUGACCACCUGCUGUGUGCCAGGCAUGGUUCUGCGGUGGAGACGCGAUGCUGCAUGAAACACUCACAGUCCUGCACUCAUGGAGCAUACAGUCUGGCUGGGUAAGACAGGCCGACUGGUAAUAGAGAAAUGGGAAAGUAUCAGACGGGGAAGAAUGCUAGGUGAGCAUUAAGAUCGGGUGAUGUGAUCAGGGAAGGCCUCUCUGAAGAGGAGACAGGUAAGCUGACACUUGAGAAGAUAACCCUUCAGCUGUGAGGCAGAUUUUCUGAAAAUCUAGCCCUGUUGGGCUGGGGCUGGGGCUGGGGUCGGAGGUGCACUUCAGGGAAACGAAUCGAAUCAGCAGAUGUAAAGGCAGGGAGCUCCCCCCAAUCGCUCCCCUUGUGAGGCCGGCUCCGGACUGCACCCACCUGUGCGGCUCACCCUGGGGCCUGGCUGUGUGGGCGGCUGCGGGGCAGGCUGGGUAAAUGGCUCUGCUUCCUGGAAUGUCUCUCUCAGUAGAGGAAGCAUUCAGUAAUUUAAUACAUUAUUUUUAUUAGAAACAAGCAUGGCUUGCUUAUAGGGGAAUUCACAAGACCCUUUAAAGAUAAAACAGGAGAUGUCAAAGAAACCUUGGGUGGAGCAGCUGACCCUGACCCAAAGAUCUGCUUUCACUCUUCUUGAGUCCUGGGGUUCCUUGUGGUGAGGUAUGAGCAGCUGGGUCAGUCCUUUCCCGGCCCAGCUUUAUUUGGGUCCCUCUCUGUCAGGAGUCCUCUGUCACUCCCCAUUGCCCAGUAACAUGAACGCCAGCCAGUUCUCAGUUCUUGAAUGAUUAUCUUAGGCUGGGCAUACUGCCUGUCUGAAUCCUCAGAACAACGCUGUUAGGCAGAAACUAUUGUUAUUUCCAGUUUACAGAUAAGGAAACUGAGCCUUGGACAGGGGAAGAGACUUUUCCGAGGUCCUACAGCAGAUUAGUGGCAAAGCCGGGACUCAAACUUAGCUGGUGCCAUUAAUCACUACUGCUUCUCCCAUAGCUACAUCCUCACUCUUACCUGCUCCUGACCCAACUUCCCCUUAUCCUGUGCUCCACAGACUGAGCAAACAGCCCCUUUGCUGCUCCCAAACAUGCCGCACGGGUUCCCACCUCCGAACCUUUGCAUGUGCUGUUCCCUCCGCCUCGAGUCUCCUGCCUCCCAUCUCUGUUUGUUGCAACCCUAACCAUUCUUCAUGGUUUUGUUCAGCUUCUUCCUCUUCCGUGAAGUCAUGUGCUUACUCCCACAAACAAGGGGCUGCCCUUUAUCUCUCAUGCCCCGCAGUUCUCUCUGCCCUAUUCUCUCGGCCCUUAUCACAAUACUUUGUGUGCCCAGGGAUUGGAGUGGGACAGACCAGGGUUUAAGUUCAAGUCUCGUUUCUGUCAUGUAUGGGCUCUGGGAUCUUGAGAAGACAGCGACCUUUGUAAGUCUCAGUUUCUUCUUUGGUAAAGUGAGCCUAAGGUGGGGAACAAAUAGACAAUGAAUCAGAAACACUCAGCAUAGGGUCUAGUUAGUGCUGAAUCAAUGGCAACUGUUGUUACAUAACCUCUCCCUGCCUCAGUUUCUUCAUCUGUAAAAGGGGGGAAAUACGGUACUUCAAUGCUCUCUUGUAGGGUGGUCAUAAAAGAUGGCAAAGGGCGUCUGAAGUGCCUGGCACACAGUCAGUGCUCAACAGGAGAGGGCAGGUCCAGGGACUCAUCACAUCUCUCUCCCUCAUAGGCCCAGCCUGGGCUUUGUGGCUCGGAGCAUGUUUUUUCAGUUGAAGUUGAGGUAGAUUUGCAUUUCCAAGGGAUGUGGCCUCAUUCAGUCCAGGCUGCCCUCACACCCAGCCUGGUGGGAAAGGGGGAAAUGACUUGGCGCCCACAAAAUCUCCACCAUCAUCAUAAUCACAAUAAUUAAUUUUUUGUUAGGGGCAACUGGCAUUUUCUUUAUUUUAUGUAAAGUGCUUUUGGAAAACUUUGCUAUUUUUAUUGAUCUGUAACCUAUUAUUUAAGUACAAACAGCGGUUGCACACACAGCUUCAAGCAGGGCCUGCAGCUCCCCUCCAAACACACUGCUGCCUGCAGUCCUCCCUGAGGAGGAAUUUGGGAGCUGUCUCUGUCCAACUGCCCUCCACUCCCACCCUCCCUUGGUUAUGAAGCAAAUUCUCUGGAAACUCUGCCCUUUGGUGGCUGGGGGUGGGGAUAGGGAAAGACCCUAGCUCCUUUCACAGAGGGAGCGUUGUUUUCAGUCAUCUUCACAGGGGGGACCAGAUCUGAUGAGCAUUAGCAAAAAGAUGGGCUGACCCAAGGGCAGGCUGGGAAAUCUACUUUGAGGUGAGGGAAGGGCUGUCCCCUGAAGGCCAAUGGGGCCUCCGUCCCUAAAGACCUGCAACCUUUCCUGCCAAUUCUUCAGAGAACCUCUCAGCCUAAUUUCAGAGCCAGGAAGACCAAGACUGAAGUCCUAGUGGCCCCAUCUUGGGGCUAUUUCUCUGGGGAGUGGGAUUGAUCCUACUUUAGGAGUAUAGGCAGCCAAUGGGAGGCUGGGGCUUGGUUAUGUCUCCAUUUUUGGCCACAGCUGAUGGAAAUGGAGCUUCUCGGAGGAAGAGGCUCUGUCCGUAGGGCAACUCUUUUUUUUUUUUCCCUAGGAAGAUUAGCCCUGAGCUGACAUCCACUGCCAGUCCUCCUCUUUUUUUUUUUUUUGCUAAGGAAGACAGGCCCUGAGCUAACAUCUGUGCCCAUCUUCCUCUAUUUUAUAUGUGGAAUGCCUGCCACAGCAUGGCUUGACAAGUGGUGCAUAGGUCUGCACCCAGGAUUCGAGCCAGCGAACCCUGGGCCACUGAAGCAGUGCAUGUGAACUUAACCGCUAACCCACCGGGCUGGCCCCACAGGGCGACUCUGAAGUGUGAAGUUCUUGCAGUCUGGCUGGUCUACUGGGUGCCCAGGUGUCCCACGCUACUGGUUGGGGUCUGAGCAUCAGUUUGAAAACGUUGGUUAGGAGCUGGAGAAACUAUCCAGUAGUUUGGAAAAUUGGAUAUAAGAAGAGAGGAAUGGGGCAGCAGACCCUAAAAGGGCUCUCUUUUUGGUUCACGGUACCUGAGGAUUUCAAGAAACCUUUGCCUGGAGGGACAUGGAGACCUGAGGGCAGCUGGGCCUCCAGGUGUCCCUGUGGAGCCUGGUAGCCCCUUCCUCCUUUCCCAGUUCUCCAUAGCCCCGUGUACCCAGGGACAGCAGAGGCUUGGCAGUGAGUGACGAGAAAGAUCGUGUGUGGCCUCGGGAGGGGAGAGAACUCCUUGGGCCUUUCUAGGCAGCCCCUACCUCCUCCCCACCUUGGGUGUUGGGAGCCCGGCCAUCCUUCUUGUGCUCCAGGUUAUGUAGUUAACACUGUUUCUUGAGAGUCCCUGUGGCCCAGGUUUGUGCUAGGUAUGUAUCCCCAUGGGAGCCCUCAAGGGGCUCACCAUCAAGAGGAGGGAGCCAAACGAGUAGACAGCUGAUUACAUCUCAAACAGGUCUGAGGUUGGUGAUGCUCACAGCAGAGGUCCCUAAUCUGGUCUGAGAGGCCAAGGAAGGCUGCCUGGAAGUAACAUGCUGGGUUCCAAUUAUGGCUGCACCGCUUACUAGUUGUGUGACCUUGGAAGAGUUCCUUAACCUUGCUGUGCUUUACUUUCUUCAUCUUUAAAAAGGGGAUAAUAAUAAUACCUACUUCAAAGGGUUGUUGUGAGGAUUUAAUGAGUUAAUACAUGUAAAUAUCCCUUAGAACAGUGCCUGCUGCACAGUAACUAUUCUAUAAAUGUUAAAUAAAAAAUAAAAACAGCUCCCACUUGGAUGAGUAGGACUUGGCGAGCAGAUGGAUGGGAAAGUGUCCUAGGCAAAGAGAACAAGGGCCUGGGUGUGAGAAAGCAGGCUCCUCUAAGGAACUCCAUUUUGUAUCACCAGGGGAGGGUGUGACUGGUGGCUGUUCUGGUCUAUGAUUUGGGCUGGGGACUCCAUCCCCUCCCUUCCACUGCCACAGUGUGGUCCUUGGGCCUGAGAUGGGACUGAGUCCAUGGGCCUGGCCAUGCCCAGCCAUUCAUUCCUCUGCCAGUCCUGCCACUGUCCGCGAGCCAGGCCUCAGGCUGGACAGCGCUGGGCAUUCUCCUGUGGGCAUCUGGAGCUCCCCAUUUGGUGGGGAAGCCCAGGGAUCAGGAGGGCUUCUUGGGGGAGGUGCUCUCUGAACAAUGUGCCAAAAGGAAGAUGAAAAGUUCCCCAGUUGCGGGGAGAGGAGGGAGUUCCAGACAGAGGGAAUGACCUGUGCAAAUGUUGAGAGGGAGGGAUUCCAACUCUGAGGAGAAACAAAAAGACCUUCGGUGGAGUUUAAGUUCUGGGCCUGGGCGUCCCCCUCUGGGUCGAUUGUAUCAGGAGGCUUGCAUGGUCCUCACCUUGCCCUUUAGCCUCAGCAGGGGUGGUGGCCUGAGAGGUUAAAGUCCAGUGUUGCUCCAGGGCCAGCCCAAGAGCUGAGGGUAGGGGCGCCAGUUACCCUGGUCCCUCCCUCUCACUCCAGAGCUGGGAGGGUUUGGCAAAGCAACAAGGCAGCCUUUGUGUCCCUCUGUGGGUCUAGGCACGUCUGGCCCAGCCUAGGCGGCUGCUGGUUUCAGUGCCCUGUGAUUCCAGCCAGGCACUGCAGGGCGGGGCAGGCAGGGCGUCUUCAGGGCCCACAGUGUGGCUGCCUUGUGUCCCCUGCACCCCCGCCAGGGCUCCCGAGUGGCUAGCCUCACCGAGUUCCUUGUGCCAUGCAUGAAUGUGAGGGUGACCUGGGCAAGAGAUGGCAGCUGACGGGAUUGGUGGUGAUGGCAGGUCAGUAUGUGAUGGGUGCCUAGGUCUGAGUCCUGUGAAAGUGGGGACUGUAGAGGUGACUCUGAGCAGGGACGGCUUCCCAUUCCCACCUCAGGCCUGGCUGCCCUUCUCCUCCAAUGGGCCCUCUGUCCCUGCCCCAACUUGUCCCCUUGAGCUGCUAGAGCUCAGCUCCUGACCAGAUCUGAUAUGGGGAGACAGACAGUUUCUGUGCAAGACAGGCCUCUACAUCCUGCUGUGUACGUCUGUCCUCCUGGGCUGGGUCCCUGGGCCUGUGUGGGUGUGCCACACACAUGUUCAUGGCUGUGCUGUGGGACUGUGUGGUACGUCCUGAGACAUGUAUGUUUGUGACUGACACAUGGUGCGCUCUACCCCCAAAUGCUUGUGAGCUGUAUAUCAUGCCGUGCAUGUUGAGUCAUGUGUGGUCUGUAUUCCUGCCUUUAAUUGGGUGGUGUGUAUUGUGUCUAUAGUUUUUGCAUGUCUUUUGGAGGGUGUGAGUGUCACUGUGGGGGGUACGUGUUUUUGUGUGAUGGUUUGUCAUUGUUGAUCUUGGCCCAGCCCCAGAAGAAGGCCUGCUGAGGCGUUGGGGGUGAGGACUGUGCCUAGACGGGAAGCCCACAGCUGGGAGGUCAGACUGGGAACAGACAUGUCCUCACCCGCCCAGAGAGUGUCACAAGCCCUCAAAGAGCCCCUGUCCAGCUUCACCACCCCUGGCCAGUCAGGGUAGGUGACUAGAAAGGGGGCAUGAGGGAAUCAAAACAACCUUGGCCCACCUCCCACCCCUUGCUGGCACUUGAGCCUAGUGCUGGUGCCCUGGUGCCCUGGGCCGGUCCUCCUAAGGCUCCAAGCACCUGGUAUUGUGGGGGUUGGACAGGGGACAGAGACAUGGCUCGGUUUGGCUCUUGUGACCAAAUUCAGCUUGUAGUGGACCAUGGAGGCAGAGCAGCCCAAGGUCUUACUGGGGCUGGGGCUGCACGGGGUACCAGCCCCACUGAGACAGGCCUGAGGCUAAGUUCAUUACGUGUGUCAUACAGCCAGCAAAUAUUUACUGAGCUUGUGCUCUGUUCCAGGCCCACUUUAGGUGCUGGGAAUAUGGCAGUCACCUCACUGAAUUAGGAGGGAGGCCAGGGGGACUGCUGCUGUGCAUUUUACAGAUGAAGAAACAGAUCCUGAGAGGUUAAGUAAUUUGCCCAAAGUCACAGCAAAGCUGAGAUUUGAAACCAGGCCUGUCUCAUGCCAGAGCCCCCUCCUCCUGCCCUUGAUGCUUACAAUUAACAGCCUACAUGCAUUGAGCUAGGACCAGCUGGGACCGGCAAGGGGCUGGGCAGGCAAUGCUUGGCUAGCCUUGUGCCGUGGGCUAUUGGCUGAUGCAGGAGGGUGGGUACAGUAACUUGUGGCCUCCUAAUUGCUCUGCAGGGAAGGUGGGUUGCCUGGGGUGGUCCCCUGGGCCCCUGGGCUGUGCAUAGAGAUGGUCAGGUAGAGAUUCAGGUGUGGGGGUAGGGGAG
rnacentral:lncRNA from 1 species